AGAACGAACGCUGGCGGCAGGCUUAACACAUGCAAGUCGAGCGCCCCGCAAGGGGAGCGGCAGACGGGUGAGUAACGCGUGGGAACAUACCCUCCGGUUCGGAAUAGCUCAGGGAAACUUGGAUUAAUACCGGAUACGGCCUAGCGGCGAAAGAUUCAUCGCCGGAGGAUUGGCCCGCGUUCGAUUAGCUAGUUGGUGAGGUAAUGGCUCACCAAGGCGACGAUCGGUAGCUGGUCUGAGAGGAUGACCAGCAUCACUGGGACUGAGACACGGCCCAGACUCCUACGGGAGGCAGCAGUGGGGAAUAUUGGACAAUGGGCGCAAGCCUGAUCCAGCCAUGCCGCGUGGAUGAUGAAGGCCUUAGGGUUGUAAAGUCCUUUUAACGGGGAAGAUAAUGACGGUACCGUAGAAUAAGCCCGGCUAACUUCGUGCCAGCAGCCGC
rnacentral:rRNA from 1 species